rnacentral:rRNA from 1 species
AGUGGAUGGGGAGCAACCUAGUUGUGCGUGUGUAAAGGUAGUGCCAAGAAAAGCGAUGAUCAUGUUGAAAAUCAAUUCCCGGUACCCGAAACCGACACAGGUGGGCAAGUAGAGAAUACUAAGGGGCGCGAGGUAACUCUCUCCAAGGAACUCGGCAAAAUGACCCCGUAACUUAGGGAGAAGGGGUGCCACCGAGAGGUGGUCGCAGUGAAGAGGCCCAGGCGACUGUUUAGCAAAAACAUAGGUCUCUGCAAACUCGAAAGAGGAGGUAUAGGGGCUGACGCCUGCCCAGUGCCGGAAGGUUAAAGAAGUUGGUCAGUCUUAGGAUGAAGCUAGCGACUGAAGCCCCGGUGAACGGCGGCCGUAACUAUAACGGUCCUAAGGUAGCGAAAUUCCUUGUCGGGUAAGUUCCGACCCGCACGGAAGGCGUAACGAUCUGGGCGCUGUCUCGGAGAGAGGCUCGGCGAAAUAGGAUUGUCUGUGAAGAUACGGACUACCUGCAUUUGGACAGAAAGACCCUAUGAAGCUUUACUAUAGCUUGGAAUUGUGUUCGGGCUUCCUGUGCGCAGGAUAGGUGGGAGGCGUAGAAGGUAUUCUUGUGGGGAUACUGGAGCCAACGGUGAGAUACCACUCUCAGGAGGCUAGAAUUCUAACUUAAUUAAGGACAGUUUCAGGCGGGUAGUUUGACUGGGGCGGUCGCCUCCAAAAAGGUAACGGAGGCGUACAAAGGUUCCCUCAGACUGGUUGGAAAUCAGUCGAAGAGUGCAAAGGCAGAAGGGAGCUUGACUGCGAGAAGUACAGUUCGAGCAGGGUGGAAACACGGUCUUAGUGAUCCGACGGUGCUGUGUGGAAGGGCCGUCGCUCAACGGAUAAAAGUUACUCUAGGAUAACAGGCUGAUCUCCCCCAAGAGUUCACAUCGACGGGGAGGUUUGGCACCUCGAUGUCGGCUCAUCGCAACCUGGGGCGGAAGUACGUCCCAAGGGUUGGGCUGUUCGCCCAUUAAAGCGGUACGUGAGCUGGGUUCAGAACGUCGUGAGACAGUUCGGUCCAUAUCCGAUGUAGGCGUGAGAAUAUUGAGAGGAGCCUUCCUUAGUACGAGAGGACCGGGAAGGACGCACCGCUGGUGUACCUGUUAUGAUGCCAAUUGUAAACGCAGGGUAGCCAAGUGCGGAGAGGAUAACCGCUGAAAGCAUCUAAGUGGGAAGCCCACCUCAAGAUGAGUAUUCUGGUGUAAGGUCACGGGAAGACGACCCGUAAAUAGGCACGAGGUGGAAGUGCAGAGAUGUAUGAAGCCGAAGUGUACUAAUAGACCGUCGGCUUGACC